AACUGCUGACCUUGAGGAAAAGCAGAUAAUUCUAUCAAGAAAGCCUCCCUCCAGGAGUAGGCUUUUAUUGCUUUAUUAUAUAUCUUAAACUGUAAGAUCCUGUUUCUUCACCUGUGGAAAUAAGGUG
rnacentral:sRNA from 1 species